rnacentral:rRNA from 1 species
UAGAGUUUGAUCCUGGCUCAGAACGAACGCUGGCGGCGCGCUUAACACAUGCAAGUCGAGCGAGAAAGCAGGCUUCGGCCUGUGAGUAAAGCGGCAGACGGGUGAGUAACACGUGGGUAACCUGCCUCCGAGUGGGGGAUAACCCAGGGAAACUUGGGCUAAUACCGCAUGACAUCCGCAGCUCCUCGGGGCAGCGGAUCGAAGCUGGGGAUCUUCGGACCUGGCGCUUGGAGAGGGGCCCGCGCCUGAUUAGCUUGUUGGUGGGGUAACGGCCUACCAAGGCGACGAUCAGUAGCCGGCCUGAGAGGGUGAUCGGCCACACUGGAACUGAGACACGGUCCAGACUCCUACGGGAGGCAGCAGUGAGGAAUUUUGCGCAAUGGGAGAAAGCCUGACGCAGCAACGCCGCGUGGAUGAUGAAGGCCUUCGGGUCGUAAAAUCCUGUCAAGUGGGAAGAAACCCCCUCCGUUAAUAGCUCUCUCUGUCUGACUGUACCACCAGAGGAAGCCCCGGCUAACUCCGUGCCAGCAGCCGCGGUAAUACGGAGGGGGCUAGCGUUGUUCGGAAUUACUGGGCGUAAAGGGCUCGUAGGCGGCUUGCCAAGUCGGACGUGAAAUCCCCAGGCUCAACCUGGGAACUGCGUCCGAUACUGGUUGGCUUGAAGCCGGGAGAGGGAUGCGGAAUUCCCGGUGUAGAGGUGAAAUUCGUAGAUAUCGGGAGGAACACCGGUGGCGAAGGCGGCAUCCUGGACCGGUCUUGACGCUGAGGAGCGAAAGCUAGGGGAGCAAACGGGAUUAGAUACCCCGGUAGUCCUAGCCCUAAACGAUGAAUGCUUGGUGUGGCGGGUAUCGAUCCCUGCCGUGCCGGAGCUAACGCAUUAAGCAUUCCGCCUGGGGAGUACGGUCGCAAGGCUGAAACUCAAAGGAAUUGACGGGGGCCCGCACAAGCGGUGGAGCAUGUGGUUUAAUUCGACGCAACGCGAAGAACCUUACCCGGGCUUGAAGUGCGAGUGACCAUCGGUGAGAGCCGACUUCCGCAAGGACACUCGUAGAGGUGCUGCAUGGCUGUCGUCAGCUCGUGUCGUGAGAUGUUGGGUUAAGUCCCGCAACGAGCGCAACCCUUGUGUCCUGUUGCCACCCCUGCGAGAGCAGGGAGCACUCUGGACAGACUGCCCCGUCUAAACGGGGAGGAAGGUGGGGAUGACGUCAAGUCAGUAUGGCCCUUACGGCCAGGGCUGCACACGUACUACAAUGCCCAGUACAAAAGGAAGCAAGACCGCAAGGUGGAGCAAAUCUCUAAAAACUGGGCUCAGUUCGGAUUGUUGUCUGCAACUCGACAACAUGAAGCUGGAAUCGCUAGUAAUGGCGCAUCAGCUACGGCGCCGUGAAUACGUUCCCAGGCCUUGUACACACCGCCCGUCACAUCAUGAAAGCCGUUUGUACCCGAAGUCGCUGUGCUAACCGAAAGGGAGCAGGUGCCGAAGGUAUGGUUGGUGAUUGGGAUGAAGAGGGAACAAGGUAACC